rnacentral:rRNA from 1 species
GAUGAACGCUGGCGGCGUGCCUAAUACAUGCAAGUCGAGCGAACAGACGAGGAGCUUGCUCCUCUGACGUUAGCGGCGGACGGGUGAGUAACACGUGGAUAACCUACCUAUAAGACUGGGAUAACUUCGGGAAACCGGAGCUAAUACCGGAUAAUAUAUUGAACCGCAUGGUUCAAUAGUGAAAGACGGUUUUGCUGUCACUUAUAGAUGGAUCCGCGCCGCAUUAGCUAGUUGUUAAGGUAACGGCUUACCAAGGCGACGAUGCGUAGCCGACCUGAGAGGGUGAUCGGCCACACUGGAACUGAGACACGGUCCAGACUCCUACGGGAGGCAGCAGUAGGGAAUCUUCCGCAAUGGGCGAAAGCCUUACGGAGCAACGCCGCGUGAGUGAUGAAGGUCUUCGGAUCGUAAAACUCUGUUAUUAGGGAAGAACAAAUGUGUAAGUAACUAUGCACGUCUUGACGGUACCUAAUCAGAAAGCCACGGCUAACUACGUG